UACGUAGGGCGCAAGCGUUGUCCGGAAUUACUGGGCGUAAAGAGUGUGUAGGCGGUGCUCUAAGUUCGGUGUGAAAUCUCCCGGCUCAACUGGGAGGGUGCGCCGGAAACUGGAAUGCUUGAGCGUGGGAGAGGAAAGCGGAAUUCCUGGUGUAGCGGUGAAAUGCGUAGAUAUCAGGAGGAACACCUGCGGUGUAGACGGCUUUCUGGACCAUUGCUGACGCUGAGACACGAAAGCGUGGGUAGCAAACAGG
rnacentral:rRNA from 1 species